UACGGAGGGUGCAAACGUUGCUCGGAAUCAUUGGGCGUAAAGCGCACGUAGGCGGCCGAGUAAGUCGGAUGUGAAAGCCCCGGGCUCAACCCGGGAAGUGCAUACGAAACUGGUCGGCUUGAAUAUGGAAGAGGGUCGCGGAAUUCCCGGUGUAGAGGUGAAAUUCGUAGAUAUCGGGAGGAACACCAGUGGCGAAGGCGGCGACCUGGGCCAAUAUUGACGCUGAGGUGCGAAAGCGUGGGGAGCAAACAGG
rnacentral:rRNA from 1 species